CUAAGUUUGAUGGCGACCGGCGCACGGGUGAGUAACACGUAUCCAACCUGCCGAUGACUCGGGGAUAGCCUUUCGAAAGAAAGAUUAAUACCCGAUGGCAUAGUUCUUCCGCAUGGUGGAACUAUUAAAGAAUCUCGGUCAUCGAUGGGGAUGCGUUCCAUUAGGUUGUUGGCGGGGUAACGGCCCACCAAGCCUUCGAUGGAUAGGGGUUCUGAGAGGAAGGUCCCCCACAUUGGAACUGAGACACGGUCCAAACUCCUACGGGAGGCAGCAUG
rnacentral:rRNA from 1 species